UGUAAAGCGAUGACGGAUAGAAAACUAUUCGCAGCAGUCACAGAGAGCCUGCAGGAGUUGAGAGCAGGCACUGACGGAAUAGCAAUAAUCAAUCCCGAGCUUGAAGGCUGAAAUAAAGUAGGCUUUCACGUGUGGCGCCGUUACGUGCCAGGGUUUGUUUGAACCUGUAUGAGGCUGCAGAUACUGCGGCAAAUAGAGUGGUACCGCGUUUAAAAGACGUCUCUAUA
rnacentral:ncRNA from 1 species